GGCAGAGAUUAAGAGCAAGUCAACGAGCAGACAUGUGGUUAUUGGGAGACCGUGGAUAUCCUUGCACCCCCUGGCUCAUGACUCCUUACCGUAAUCCCAGGCCAGGACCACAGAUGGCAUUUAACUCCGCGCUUACUGCCACUAGGCAGCUGGUGGAGCGCACAAUUGGUGUCCUUAAAGGGCGGUUUCGUGUGCUCCACCGCACUGGUGGCGACAUCAUGUAUUCGCCGGAGAUGGCAAGUAAAAUAGUGGUCCUGUGCGCAAUACUACAUAAUAUCGCGGUAAGGAGUAGUGUAGAGCUUCCUCAGGCAGAGGAAUUGCCUGAUGAGGAGCCAGGGGUUGUUCGACACUUCGGUGGUGGGAGUGUUACACGGAGGGGGAGCCAAGUGAGGGCAAGGAUUGUUGCCGAAUAUUUCAGCUGAAUGAUCACACAAACUGUGGACAACAACAACGGCAGACCUCUCCGCCCCCUUCCCCUUCCCAGUCCCCCUCCCCUUCUCACUCCCCCUCCCCUUCUCACUCCCCCUCCCCU